rnacentral:lncRNA from 1 species
AUUCCAUCAUGGUAUGGACAGGAGACUUCAGGGUGCUUUUUUAGAAACCUUAGUUCAGGCUGGAAACUCAAGAUUCAAGGACAAAAGAAAUCAGGCAUUGUAAAGGAGAUAAAAGCAACAAUUUAGGACGGGUCAGAAGAAACUCUUCCUUAUCUGUGUUCAGUUUUAAAAGGCAUAGAUCCCAGGGAGUCAAGAUGAACUGUCAUCACUACCACCCUGCUGAUCCAGUAUUACCCAUAAAGUAAGUCAAAAAGUCCUUGGAAAAUGCCAAUGUGUGUUUCCUUUUCUAUUUGCUUGA